UACGAAGGGGGGCUAGCGUUGCUCGGAAUGACUGGGCGUAAAGGGCGCGUAGGCGGUUUGUACAGUCAGAUGUGAAAUUCCUGGGCUCAACCUGGGGGGCUGCAUUUUGAUACGUGUAGACUUGAGUGGGGAAGAGGGUCGUGGAAUUCCCAGUGUAGAGGUGAAAUUCGUAGAUAUUGGGAAGAACACCGGUGGCGAAGGCGGCGAGCUGGUCCAUUACUGACGCUGAGGCGCGACAGCGUGGGGGAGCAAACAGG
rnacentral:rRNA from 1 species